rnacentral:tRNA from 1 species
GGACGUAUGGUCUAGUGGUUAAGACGUCUCGGCUGCAACCCUGAGAAGGUCCCGGGUUCGAACCCCGAUACGUUCA